rnacentral:rRNA from 1 species
AGAGUUUGAUCCUGGCUCAGGAUGAACGCUAGCUACAGGCUUAACACAUGCAAGUCGAGGGGCAGCGGGAUUGAAGCUUGCUUCAAUUGCCGGCGACCGGCGCACGGGUGAGUAACGCGUAUCCAACCUUCCGUACACUCAGGGAUAGCCUUUCGAAAGAAAGAUUAAUACCUGAUGGUAUCUUAAGCACACAUGUAAUUAAGAUUAAAGAUUUAUCGGUGUACGAUGGGGAUGCGUUCCAUUAGGUAGUAGGCGGGGUAACGGCCCACCUAGCCAACGAUGGAUAGGGGUUCUGAGAGGAAGGUCCCCCACAUUGGAACUGAGACACGGUCCAAACUCCUACGGGAGGCAGCAGUGAGGAAUAUUGGUCAAUGGACGAGAGUCUGAACCAGCCAAGUAGCGUGAAGGAUGAAGGUCCUACGGAUUGUAAACUUCUUUUAUAAGGGAAUAAACCCUCCCACGUGUGGGAGCUUGUAUGUACCUUAUGAAUAAGCAUCGGCUAACUCCGUGCCAGCAGCCGCGGUAAUACGGAGGAUGCGAGCGUUAUCCGGAUUUAUUGGGUUUAAAGGGAGCGCAGACGGGUCGUUAAGUCAGCUGUGAAAGUUUGGGGCUCAACCUUAAAAUUGCAGUUGAUACUGGCGUCCUUGAGUGCGGUUGAGGUGUGCGGAAUUCGUGGUGUAGCGGUGAAAUGCUUAGAUAUCACGAAGAACUCCGAUUGCGAAGGCAGCACACUAAGCCGUAACUGACGUUCAUGCUCGAAAGUGUGGGUAUCAAACAGGAUUAGAUACCCUGGUAGUCCACACGGUAAACGAUGGAUACUCGCUGUUGGCGAUAUACUGUCAGCGGCUUAGCGAAAGCGUUAAGUAUCCCACCUGGGGAGUACGCCGGCAACGGUGAAACUCAAAGGAAUUGACGGGGGCCCGCACAAGCGGAGGAACAUGUGGUUUAAUUCGAUGAUACGCGAGGAACCUUACCCGGGCUUAAAUUGCAAAGGAAUAAUCUGGAAACAGGUUAGUCUUCGGACCUUUGUGAAGGUGCUGCAUGGUUGUCGUCAGCUCGUGCCGUGAGGUGUCGGCUUAAGUGCCAUAACGAGCGCAACCCUCGCCGCCAGUUACUAACAGUUAAAGCUGAGGACUCUGGCGGGACUGCCAUCGUAAGAUGUGAGGAAGGUGGGGAUGACGUCAAAUCAGCACGGCCCUUACGUCC